rnacentral:rRNA from 1 species
AACGCGAAGAACCUUACCUGGGCUCGAAGCACAGUGGACCGGGGUAGAAAUAUCCCUUUUCGCAAGAACUGCUGUGGAGGUGCUGCAUGGCUGUCGUCAGCUCGUGUCGUGAGAUGUUGGGUUAAGUCCCGCAACGAGCGCAACCCUUAUCGUUAGUUGCCAGCGAGUCAAGUCGGGCACUCUAGCGAAACCGCCCCGGAUAACGGGGAGGAAGGUGGGGAUGACGUCAAGUCCUCAUGGCCUUUAUGUCCAGGGCUACACACGUGCUACAAUGGUCGGUACAAAGAGUUGCGAUCCCGCAAGGGGGAGCUAAUCUCAAAAAAGCCGCUCUCAGUUCGGAUUGUUCUCUGCAACUCGAGAGCAUGAAGCUGGAAUCGCUAGUAAUCGCGGAUCAGCACGCCGCGGUGAAUACGUUCCCGGGCCUUGUACACACCGGAGUGC